ensembl:snoRNA
GGCAGUUAUUUUUACUUUUCCCUUCGGGCUCUCCCCAGGAGUAACCCAGGAGGGCUGCUGCAGCAACUCUCUGGCUCGAGGGCCAGGGACUUGAGUGAAAAUGGCCGGGCUGUGUCUGCCAGGGAAAGGG